GAAGUGCGUGUUGUCGGUCAGCUUUGUGCGCUGUGCUGUGCCGUGCCCUGGGGAUGUCGUGGUGAUCAGCCUGUGAGGUCUGGGGUCUUGAGGGGGAUACAGGCCGGUCGGAUUGAUGAAGACGGUUCUGGCUAGAGGAGCACCCGUGAAGAGGCCUAGGAAAGGAAGGAGGAAAACAUGGUCUUGAUGCAGAGAAAUGCGGUGGAGUCGGGGCGCUGUGAGGGGACGCGGGGAGGAUUGGUGUCCAGGCCGCGAGGACCUUCUCAGGCUUCCAGCAAGGAGCAGCAGGACCGGCUCUGCACUGAUGGGUACCUUGCAAAGAAAAGAGUUUUACAUGGCACACAGUCUGCAGGCAAGGGAGUUCAGGAUUGCAUCUGGCAAGGGCCUUGUCCAGGAUUAUAGCACGGCAGAUGGCGCUGUAUGUUCAGAAGGCACCAAAAACGGACCAGCAGGGCAGGGAGAGCAGAGAUCAUAUGGCGAGGGAAGAAGCGGGUGAGUAAUACAAAAACACCUCAUUCUGCUCUUGUGGUGAUCAGUGCAAU
rnacentral:lncRNA from 1 species